ensembl:lncRNA
CUUUCAUCAAGCUUCACCUGCAUGCAAAACAUCAUCGUGACAGGGAUGGUUUUCUCCUUCUCAACUUUGGGCUUGGACACUCUCAGCAUCCAGCCACAGGGUGCCAUAUUCUAAUCUACGCCCACAAGCCUGCUGGCCCCUCGACAGUAAAAGCAACUUUCAGCCAUCUUGGAGAAGGCCUGCAUUUGAUCAAGGUGUCUGAUCAAGUCAAAGCUCAUGCAGGAAGACGCUCACCUGCUCCAUCUCCGAUGCCUGAUGUGGAUCUGGAGCAGAAGAGGACGUCUGUGUGGCUGAUGAUGUACUCCACCACAUCUGACUGCCUCUGCAGUUCCAUGCAGGCAGCUCUUCCGCUGGCGCAGGCAGACUCGUUCUGCUGGGAUCUGCAGAAAAGGCAGAUUGGAGAAGUCAUGGAUCCCAGAUCAUUUCCCCACGUCUGGAUUUUGCCAGCCACAAGCUGUCCAAUUGGG